CCUACGGGAGGCAGCAGUGAGGACUAUUGGUCAAUGGACGAGAGUCUGAACCAGCCAAGUAGCGUGAAGGAUGACUGCCCUAUGGGUUGUAAACUUCUUUUAUAUGGGAAUAAAAUGUUCCACGUGUGGGAUUUUGUAUGUACCAUAUGAAUAAGGAUCGGCUAACUCCGUGCCAGCAGCCGCGGUAAUACGGAGGAUCCGAGCGUUAUCCGGAUUUAUUGGGUUUAAAGGGAGCGUAGGUGGAUUGUUAAGUCAGUUGUGAAAGUUUGCGGCUCAACCGUAAAAUUGCAGUUGAAACUGGCAGUCUUGAGUACAGUAGAGGUGGGCGGAAUUCGUGGUGGAGCGGUGAAAUGCUUAGAUAUCACGAAGAACUCCGAUUGCGAAGGCAGUUCACUGGACUGCAACUGACACUGAGGCUCGAAAGUGUGGGUAUCAAACAGGAUUAGAUACCCCAGUAGUC
rnacentral:rRNA from 1 species